CCUACGGGGUGCAGCAGUGGGGGAUAUUGCACAAUGGGGGGAACCCUGAUCCAGCGACGCCGCGUGAGUGAAGAAGUAUUUCGGUAUGUAAAGCUCUAUCGGCAGGGAAGAAAGAAAUGACGGUACCUGACUAAGAAGCCCCGGCUAACUACGUGCCAGCAGCCGCGGUAAUACGUAGGGGGCAAGCGUUAUCCGGAUUUACUGGGUGUAAAGGGAGCGUAGACGGCAGUGCAAGUCUGGAGUGAAAGGCGGGGGCUCAACCCCCGGACUGCUCUGGAAACUGUACGGCUGGAGUGCAGGAGAGGUAAGUGGAAUUCCUAGUGUAGCGGUGAAAUGCGUAGAUAUUAGGAGGAACACCAGUGGCGAAGGCGGCUUACUGGACUGUAACUGACGUUGAGGCUCGAAAGCGUGGGGAGCAAACAGGAUUAGAUACCCCUGUAGUC
rnacentral:rRNA from 1 species